AGGGAAGGUUUGAAUGAGAUGUAUGAUGACGUCAGAAAACAACUUGAGUCGGAAAAGAAAUUAAGAAAGGUGCGUGUGAUUGGCAUCCUAUUAACACGUAAACAUCUCACAUCUUGUAACAAGUUUGUCAACAAGUUGUCUUCGCACUGCUUGUUACAAGUUGUCAACAGUUUUGGAACAAUUUGUUGACAACUUGUAACCACCUUGCCGAAAUUGUCAGAUUUGUUACAAGGUUGUUCUGACAAGUCCGUUACAUGCUUGAUGCGACAAAUUGUUACAACCUUGUGUUGACAACCUUGUAACAUGCUUGUUUUUAUAUCACGGCUGUAAAAACUUAUAACAAGUCUGAUAAUGCUAUCAAGCUUGUUACAAGUUCUUAACAGCUUGUUACAAAUUUGUUGCAACAACUGGGAACAAGCAGUGCGAACAAAACUUGUUGACAGCUUGUGCACAGAUUUGUAACAACUUGUUUCCAGACUUGUUACAAGCUGCGCGUUUUUAUGCGUGUAGUACUACAUGUAAAAACGCACAAGUUGUUACAAACCUGUUCACAAGCUGUCGACAAGUUUUGUUCGCACUGCUUGUUCCCAGUUGUUGUGACAAGUUUGGAACAAGCUGUUGACAACUUGUAACGAGCUUGAUAGUUGAUGGCAUUAUCAAACUUGUUACAAGGUUGCUCUAACAAGUCUGAUACAGUCAUGAUAUAACAAGAAUGUUACAAGGUUGACGACACAAGGUUGUAACAAUAUUGUUAUAUCAUGACUGUAUCGGACUUGUUGGAACAACCUUGCAACAAGUCUGAUGAUAUCAACAAGGUUGUCACAAGUUGUUAACAGCUUGUUCCAAACUUGUUGACAACUUGGGACAAGCAGUGUGAAGACAACUUGUUGGCGGCUUGUUGGCAGACUUGCUACAAGAUGUGAGAUUUUUACGUGUAAUACGUUGCUGCUAAUAUAUGAAGGUGUACAUGCAAUCUCGUACCCAGAGCCAUCGUUGAAAUGUCACUUGGAUGAGCAUUAGAGGGCCCUGAAGGGGUAAAAUGGGAACUGGGAUUGAUCUAUUUUUAGACUGGGAAAAUGGGAUUUGGGUUGCUGGGACUGGGAUUUGGCCACUGGGAAUGGGAAAUGAAGUUCUCAAAAAUGGGAAUGGGAUUGAGGUAAUGAGAGUCGAUUCCCAAUUUUUCUGUGUUUUGAGUAUUUUAAAAUACAAUUUUGAUCCGUUUUUGGUGUCUUUGGUCAUGAUUUUUGUUGUUAACUAUAUUAUUCACAGCACUACCUGCGAACAGGCAUACUCUGGCGCCCGGAAUUCUGGGUUUUCUGAUUAUGCGUGUCUCAGAAUGCUGCAAAUGCCAUUUCCGGGAUUCAAAUUUAAAAAUUUUCCGUGCCUUCGGCACUAGCACCCCCCCUAAUAUUUCAUAAAGUGUCCGCCACAUGCUUAAAAGGUCUUAAAACUGUUUAUUCUACCGAUAAAUAAAGGGUUUUUUAUUGACUGGGAUUUCAAUAACUGGGAUUGGGAUUUCUAAUAAAAAUCCAACUGGGACUGGGAUUUUGCCAAAAUUUCAGGUGGGAAAUGGGAUUGGGACCCCCCCCCUUCAGGACCCUCGCAUUAGUACUUCAGCGCAUUGAACGCUAUUCGUGAUUCCUAUUGUGUUUUUCCAGGAAACCGAAAGUGAAUUGCAGCUUAUCAAGAAUAUGAAAAAUGAAAGUCAGGUAACACAUUUAGUUGCACAUUAUAUACAAUUGAUUAGCAUUCCGUAAUUUUAUCGGAACAAUCGGAAGUUAUGAAUAAAGUUUUUUGGCAGGAAAUGUCGAAGCACACAUAAAAGAUCAUUUAAAGGGAAAAAAGCCUUAAAAUGUUACUGCUAUAUGAACAUAAAAUCACAUUUUAGACAGAAAAAA